GGUUACAGAAUCAUCAAGCUCUGUAGGAGUCGACUGGUUUCAGGAGAGCACUCAGCAUAAUCCUAGAUGACGAUAUUGGAGAAUGAUCAAGAAAUUGGCUUCGGUAUCCAGAUACAAAGACAACAGACCACUUCAGCCAUGGAUUAAGAGCAUUAGCAAUCAUCUGUGGUUUUCAUGUUCAUCUUGUGGAGGUGACCCGGAUGAGCUGAUCAAAAGGUCACUUCUGCACCACAUUUGUGGGGUUCAUUCCAGGAC